rnacentral:lncRNA from 1 species
ACCACCCUUUUUCAAUGCACUUGACUCAUGAUUUCAUCCAACUACUUUUUGUGAACACAAGACCUUCCUCAAUGGAAUUUGGGGUCCCCAAAAUGAACUCUCCACCCACAAAACACAACUUAAAACAAAAAAAAAACAAAAACUCAUGCAAAGUUUGCCAAAAAGUCUAAAUUUGACAUCUUGGUCCCCUGUGUACAAAAAAGUUGUCACUUGUGAAGGACUUUCUGUAAAAAUUCAACAAAACAUUCGCGUGAACGUUUACCACCUAUUGGUAAACGAUUACACCACCCUUUUUCAAUGCACUUGACUCAGGAUUUCAUCCAACUACUUUUAGUGAACACAAGACCUUUCAACAACACUAAAACAAUCUG